AGUACUUUUAAAAAGGCGGCGUAAGCUGUCGCUAUGGGAUGGCCCGCGGUGCAUUAGCUAGUUGGUAAGGUAAAGGCUUACCAAGGCGAUGAUGCAUAGCCCGAGUUGAGAGACUGAUCGGGCCACAUUGGGGACUGAGACACGGGGCCCAAACUCCUACGGGGGGAGGGGCAGCAGUAGGGGGAAUCUUCCACAAUGGACGCAAGUCUGAUGGAGCAACGCCGCGUGAGUAGAAGUUAAGGUUUUCGGAUACGUAAAGCUCUGUUGUUGGUGAAGAAGGAUAGAGGUAGUAACUGGUCCUUUAUUGACGGUAAUCAACCAGAAAGUCACGGCUAACUACGUGCCAGCAGCCGCGGUAAU
rnacentral:rRNA from 1 species